rnacentral:rRNA from 1 species
UCCUACGGGAGGCAGCAGUAGGGAAUCUUCCGCAAUGGACGAAAGUCUGACGGAGCAACGCCGCAUGAGUGAUGAAGGCUUUCGGGUCGUAAAACUCUGUUGUUAGGGAAGAACAAGUGCUAGUUGAAUAAGCUGGCACCUUGACGGUACCUAACCAGAAAGCCACGGCUAACUACGUGCCAGCAGCCGCGGUAAUACGUAGGUGGCAAGCGUUAUCCGGAAUUAUUGGGCGUAAAGCGCGCGCUGGUGGUUUCUUAAGUCUGAUGUGAAAGCCCACGGCUCAACCGUGGAGGGUCAUUGGAAACUGGGAGACUUGAGUGCAGAAGAGGAAAGUGGAAUUCCAUGUGUAGCGGUGAAAUGCGUAGAGACAUGGAGGAACACCAGUGGCGAAGGCGACCUUCUGGACUGACACUGACACUGAGGUGCGAAAGCGUGGGUAGCAAACAGGAUUAGAUACCCUGGUAGUCCACGCCGUAAACGAUGUCGACUAGCCGUUGGGGUCCUUGAGACCUUUGUGGCGCAGUUAACGCGAUAAGUCGACCGCCUGGGGAGUACGGCCGCAAGGUUAAAACUCAAAGGAA